UACAGAGGCCUCGAGCGUUAGGCGGAAUCACUGGGCGUAAAGAGUGUGUAGGCGGUGUUCCCAGUCUGUUGUGAAAUCUCCCGGCUUAACUGGGAGGGUGCAGCGGAAACUAGAAUGCUAGAGGGUGGGAGAGGUAAGCGGAAUUCCUGGUGUAGCGGUGAAAUGCGUAGAUAUCAGGAGGAACACCGGUGGCGAAGGCGGCAGCCUGGACCAACACUGACGCUGAGGAGCGAAAGCCAGGGGAGCAAACGGG
rnacentral:rRNA from 1 species